CAUCGCGAGGUGUAGGCGAGAAGAAGGGAUAACGAAAUCGUAGCCUGACGAACAGAAACCUGAUACAAGGCGUACAUGGUGGAUAAGCUGGCCCAAGGCAGCAAAGUCCAAAAGGCAACCGUAACCCAUGUGCGUAAAUCAGGCAGGUAGACGAGGAAAGAC
rnacentral:ncRNA from 1 species